rnacentral:rRNA from 1 species
UACGUAGGGGGCAAGCGUUGUCCGGAAUCAUUGGGCGUAAAGCGCGUGUAGGCGGUUCGAUAAGUCUGCUGUGAAAGUCCAGGGCUCAACCCUGGGAUGCCGGUGGAUACUGUCGAGCUAGAGUACGGAAGAGGCGAGUGGAAUUCCCGGUGUAGCGGUGAAAUGCGCAGAUAUCGGGAGGAACACCAAUUGCGAAGGCAGCUCGCUGGGACGUCACUGAUGCUGAGACGCGAAAGCGUGGGGAGCAAACAGG